UACGAAGGGGGCUAGCGUUGUUCGGAAUCACUGGGCGUAAAGGGUGCGUAGGCGGGUCUUUAAGUCAGGGGUGAAAUCCUGGAGCUCAACUCCAGAACUGCCUUUGAUACUGAAGAUCUUGAGUUCGGGAGAGGUGAGUGGAACUGCGAGUGUAGAGGUGAAAUUCGUAGAUAUUCGCAAGAACACCAGUGGCGAAGGCGGCUCACUGGCCCGAUACUGACGCUGAGGCACGAAAGCGUGGGGAGCAAACAGGG
rnacentral:rRNA from 1 species